rnacentral:rRNA from 1 species
GGGUUGUGAGGUUAAGCGACUAAGCGUACACGGUGGAUGCCCUGGCAGUCAGAGGCGAUGAAGGACGUGCUAAUCUGCGAUAAGCGUCGGUAAGGUGAUAUGAACCGUUAUAACCGGCGAUUUCCGAAUGGGGAAACCCAGUGUGUUUCGACACACUAUCAUUAACUGAAUCCAUAGGUUAAUGAGGCGAACCGGGGGAACUGAAACAUCUAAGUACCCCGAGGAAAAGAAAUCAACCGAGAUUCCCCCAGUAGCGGCGAGCGAACGGGGAGGAGCCCAGAGCCUGAAUCAGUGUGUGUGUUAGUGGAAGCGUCUGGAAAGGCGCGCGAUACAGGGUGACAGCCCCGUACACAAAAAUGCACAUGCUGUGAGCUCGAUGAGUAGGGCGGGACACGUGGUAUCCUGUCUGAAUAUGGGGGGACCAUCCUCCAAGGCUAAAUACUCCUGACUGACCGAUAGUGAACCAGUACCGUGAGGGAAAGGCGAAAAGAACCCCGGCGAGGGGAGUGAAAAAGAACCUGAAACCGUGUACGUACAAGCAGUGGGAGCACGCUUAGGCGUGUGACUGCGUACCUUUUGUAUAAUGGGUCAGCGACUUAUAUUCUGUAGCAAGGUUAACCGAAUAGGGGAGCCGAAGGGAAACCGAGUCUUAACUGGGCGUUAAGUUGCAGGGUAUAGACCCGAAACCCGGUGAUCUAGCCAUGGGCAGGUUGAAGGUUGGGUAACACUAACUGGAGGACCGAACCGACUAAUGUUGAAAAAUUAGCGGAUGACUUGUGGCUGGGGGUGAAAGGCCAAUCAAACCGGGAGAUAGCUGGUUCUCCCCGAAAGCUAUUUAGGUAGCGCCUCGUGAAUUCAUCUCCGGGGGUAGAGCACUGUUUCGGCAAGGGGGUCAUCCCGACUUACCAACCCGAUGCAAACUGCGAAUACCGGAGAAUGUUAUCACGGGAGACACACGGCGGGUGCUAACGUCCGUCGUGAAGAGGGAAACAACCCAGACCGCCAGCUAAGGUCCCAAAGUCAUGGUUAAGUGGGAAACGAUGUGGGAAGGCCCAGACAGCCAGGAUGUUGGCUUAGAAGCAGCCAUCAUUUAAAGAAAGCGUAAUAGCUCACUGGUCGAGUCGGCCUGCGCGGAAGAUGUAACGGGGCUAAACCAUGCACCGAAGCUGCGGCAGCGACGCUUAUGCGUUGUUGGGUAGGGGAGCGUUCUGUAAGCCUGUGAAGGUGUGCUGUGAGGCAUGCUGGAGGUAUCAGAAGUGCGAAUGCUGACAUAAGUAACGAUAAAGCGGGUGAAAAGCCCGCUCGCCGGAAGACCAAGGGUUCCUGUCCAACGUUAAUCGGGGCAGGGUGAGUCGACCCCUAAGGCGAGGCCGAAAGGCGUAGUCGAUGGGAAACAGGUUAAUAUUCCUGUACUUGGUGUUACUGCGAAGGGGGGACGGAGAAGGCUAUGUUGGCCGGGCGACGGUUGUCCCGGUUUAAGCGUGUAGGCUGGUUUUCCAGGCAAAUCCGGAAAAUCAAGGCUGAGGCGUGAUGACGAGGCACUACGGUGCUGAAGCAACAAAUGCCCUGCUUCCAGGAAAAGCCUCUAAGCAUCAGGUAACAUCAAAUCGUACCCCAAACCGACACAGGUGGUCAGGUAGAGAAUACCAAGGCGCUUGAGAGAACUCGGGUGAAGGAACUAGGCAAAAUGGUGCCGUAACUUCGGGAGAAGGCACGCUGAUAUGUAGGUGAAGUCCCUCGCGGAUGGAGCUGAAAUCAGUCGAAGAUACCAGCUGGCUGCAACUGUUUAUUAAAAACACAGCACUGUGCAAACACGAAAGUGGACGUAUACGGUGUGACGCCUGCCCGGUGCCGGAAGGUUAAUUGAUGGGGUUAGCGCAAGCGAAGCUCUUGAUCGAAGCCCCGGUAAACGGCGGCCGUAACUAUAACGGUCCUAAGGUAGCGAAAUUCCUUGUCGGGUAAGUUCCGACCUGCACGAAUGGCGUAAUGAUGGCCAGGCUGUCUCCACCCGAGACUCAGUGAAAUUGAACUCGCUGUGAAGAUGCAGUGUACCCGCGGCAAGACGGAAAGACCCCGUGAACCUUUACUAUAGCUUGACACUGAACAUUGAGCCUUGAUGUGUAGGAUAGGUGGGAGGCUUUGAAGUGUGGACGCCAGUCUGCAUGGAGCCGACCUUGAAAUACCACCCUUUAAUGUUUGAUGUUCUAACGUUGACCCGUAAUCCGGGUUGCGGACAGUGUCUGGUGGGUAGUUUGACUGGGGCGGUCUCCUCCUAAAGAGUAACGGAGGAGCACGAAGGUUGGCUAAUCCUGGUCGGACAUCAGGAGGUUAGUGCAAUGGCAUAAGCCAGCUUGACUGCGAGCGUGACGGCGCGAGCAGGUGCGAAAGCAGGUCAUAGUGAUCCGGUGGUUCUGAAUGGAAGGGCCAUCGCUCAACGGAUAAAAGGUACUCCGGGGAUAACAGGCUGAUACCGCCCAAGAGUUCAUAUCGACGGCGGUGUUUGGCACCUCGAUGUCGGCUCAUCACAUCCUGGGGCUGAAGUAGGUCCCAAGGGUAUGGCUGUUCGCCAUUUAAAGUGGUACGCGAGCUGGGUUUAGAACGUCGUGAGACAGUUCGGUCCCUAUCUGCCGUGGGCGCUGGAGAACUGAGGGGGGCUGCUCCUAGUACGAGAGGACCGGAGUGGACGCAUCACUGGUGUUCGGGUUGUCAUGCCAAUGGCACUGCCCGGUAGCUAAAUGCGGAAGAGAUAAGUGCUGAAAGCAUCUAAGCACGAAACUUGCCCCGAGAUGAGUUCUCCCUGACCCUUUAAGGGUCCUGAAGGAACGUUGAAGACGACGACGUUGAUAGGCCGGGUGUGUAAGCGCAGCGAUGCGUUGAGCUAACCGGUACUAAUGAACCGUGAGGCUUAACCUUACAACGCCGAAGCUGUU